AGAUAUUGCAAAACCUUGGGCGAGCAGACAGGACUAAGGAUGAAGUUUUUGAAGUGUACUUGUACAACUUCACAAGGCAGCAGACGGCAGCAGCCAAACUGCAGAAGGAGUUCAAAAACUAUGUGCUGUGCAUCAAGAGCUUGCAGCUAGCCAGCAAGGCACUCAUGGACACACUGAGUGAGAUCUACGAGCAGGAGUGGGUCGGACACGAACAGAUCCCCGUCAAGGCACAGACUUUGGAACUUCUUUGGGACGACUACCACAGGAAGAUGAAUGACCAGGUGAUGAUUCCAUUGAACAGCUACAUCACUCAGUUUGUAGACGUUAGGG